AUGGUUGAAAACAGAUAUACAGAUGAUAGUGUCGAACCAAGUGGAACAAAGAAAGAAGAUCUGAAUGACAAAGAGAAAAAAGAUGAAGACGAAACUCCUGCACCUGUAUAUAGGGCCAAGUCAAUUCUGGAGACCUGGGUGUGGGUCAAGCAACCAGGUAAUCUUCUGAGUUUUGGCAUUUUGGAAAGCUUGAUCUGACGCUCCUUUUCUAAAUAACUUGGAUGGAUUAUUCGUAUUUU
rnacentral:lncRNA from 1 species